rnacentral:rRNA from 1 species
GUGUCAGCCGCCGCGGUAAUACAGAGGGUGCGAGCGUUAAUCGGAAUUACUGGGCGUAAAGCGCACGUAGGUGGCGACGUAAGUCGGGUGUGAAAUCCCUGGGCUCAACCUGGGAACGGCAUUCGAGACUGUGUUGCUGGAGUACGGAAGAGGAGGGCGGAAUUCCCGGUGUAGCGGUGAAAUGCGUAGAUAUCGGGAGGAACAUCAGUGGCGAAGGCGGCCCUCUGGUCCAGUACUGACACUCAAGUGCGAAAGCGUGGGGAGCAAACAGGAUUAGAAACCCGCGUAGUCC